rnacentral:rRNA from 1 species
CCUACGGGUGGCAGCAGUAGGGAAUCUUUCACAAUGGGCGAAAGCCUGAUGGAGCAACGCCGCGUGCAGGAAGAAGGCCUUCGGGUUGUAAAGUGCUGUUAUAAGCGAGAAAUAUGAGGGUAACUAAUGAUUAAGGAUCGGCUAAAUACGUGCCAGCAGCCGCGGUCAUACGUAGGAUCCGAGCAUUAUGCGGGGUGACUGGGUGUAAAGAGUUGCGUAGGUGGCAUAAUAAGUAGCUAGUGAAAUCUGGUGGCUCAACCAUUCAGACUAUUAGCUAAACUGUUAAGCUCGAGACCGUUAGGGGUAACUGGAAUUUCUAGUGUAGGAGUGGAAUGCGUAGAUAUUAGAAAGAACACCGAUGGCGUAGGCAGGUUACUGGGACGGUUCUGACACUAAGGCACGAAAGCGUAGGGAGCAAACGGGAUUAGAUACCCCAGUAGUC